CGGACAGUGUCUGGUGGGUAGUUUGACUGGGGCGGUCUCCUCCUAAAGAGUAACGGAGGAGCACGAAGGUUGGCUAAUCCUGGUCGGACAUCAGGAGGUUAGUGCAAUGGCAUAAGCCAGCUUGACUGCGAGCGUGACGGCGCGAGCAGGUGCGAAAGCAGGUCAUAGUGAUCCGGUGGUUCUGAAUGGAAGGGCCAUCGCUCAACGGAUAAAAGGUACUCCGGGGAUAACAGGCUGAUACCGCCCAAGAGUUCAUAUCGACGGCGGUGUUUGGCACCUCGAUGUCGGCUCAUCACAUCCUGGGGCUGAAGUAGGUCCCAAGGGUAUGGCUGUUCGCCAUUUAAAGUGGUACGCGAGCUGGGUUUAGAACGUCGUGAGACAGUUCGGUCCCUAUCUGCCGUGGGCGCUGGAGAACUGAGGGGGGCUGCUCCUAGUACGAGAGGACCGGAGUGGACGCAUCACUGGUGUUCGGGUUGUCAUGCCAAUGGCACUGCCCGGUAGCUAAAUGCGGAAGAGAUAAGUGCUGAAAGCAUCUAAGCACGAAACUUGCCCCGAGAUGAGUUCUCCCUGAGACUUAGAGUCUCCUGAAGGAACGUUGAAGACGACGACGUUGAUAGGCCGGGUGUGUAAGCGCAGCGAUGCGUUGAGCUAACCGGUACUAAUGAACCGUGAGGCUUAACCUUACAACGCCGAAG
rnacentral:rRNA from 4 species